rnacentral:rRNA from 1 species
AUACGUAGGUGGCAAGCGUUGUCCGGAAUUACUGGGUGUAAAGGGAGCGCAGGCGGGACAGCAAGUUGGAUGUGAAAUACCGCAGCUCAACUGCGGAGCUGCAUCCAAAACUGUUGUUCUUGAGUGGAGUAGAGGUAGGCGGAAUUCCGAGUGUAGCGGUGAAAUGCGUAGAUAUUCGGAGGAACACCAGUGGCGAAGGCGGCCUACUGGGCUCUUACUGACGCUGAGGCUCGAAAGUGUGGGGAGCAAACAGGAUUAGAUACCCUGGUAGUCCACACUGUAAACGAUGAUUGCUAGGUGUGGGGGGUCUGACCCCUUCCGUGCCGGAGUUAACGCAAUAAGCAAUCCACCUGGGGAGUACGGCCGCAAGGUUGAAACUCAAAUGAAUUGACGGGG